CACUGAAAUGCAUUUUCGCUGUUAUGGCUGCCAUCGACUGCAAUGAGAACUACGCGACCACUAUUUGUUUCUUGUGCUGCCAUAUUUGACAAGCGGAGUGUUUCUUUGUUUGCGUUCCAGUGAUUUCAGACUGCAAAUGUGGCUGGCCAACUGGGUCCAACUGGGCGAUCGGUCGCGUUUGAAUUUCACCAAACACAGAAAUAAAGCAAUAUCAUCAAAAUUUCCAUAUAUAUAUGUAGAUCAUUAAGGCAGCAUUUUGACAGUUGUAAUGAAAGAUUGCUAAAUAUUAAUCAUCGACGUUCAAUUAUUAUAUUGUGUUUUAAUGUUCUGAUUCGCAAGUUCGA